rnacentral:rRNA from 1 species
GCGGUUGGCGCACCGCCGUCGGGUAAGACCAACUCCCAUGGUGUGACGGGCGGUGUGUACAAGGCCCGGGAACGUAUUCACCGUGGCAUGCUGAUCCACGAUUACUAGCGAUUCCGCCUUCAUGCACUCGAGUUGCAGAGUGCAAUCCGAACUGAGACGGCUUUUGGGGAUUUGCUCCANAUCGCUCCUUCGCCUCCCACUGUCACCGCCAUUGUAGCACGUGUGUAGCCCAUCCCGUAAGGGCCAUGAGGACUUGACGUCAUCCACACCUUCCUCGCGGCUUAUCACCGGCAGUCUCCCUAGAGUGCCCAACUGAAUGAUGGCAACUAANGACUNGGUUGCGCUCGUUGCGGGACUUAACCCAACAUCUCACGACACGAGCUGACGACAGCCAUGCAGCACCUGUNUNGCGCGCCACCGAAGUGGACCCAAAUCUCUCUGGGUUACACGCCAUGUCAAAGANGGUAAAGUUCUGCNCCUUGCUUCNAAAUAAAACACAUGCUCCACCGCUUGUUGCGGGCCCCNUCAAUCCCUUGAAUUUUAAUCUUGCAACCGUACUCCCC